rnacentral:rRNA from 1 species
UACGUAGGGCGCAAGCGUUAUCCGGAAUUAUUGGGCGUAAAGAGCUCGUAGGCGGUUUGUCGCGUCUGCCGUGAAAGUCCGGGGCUCAACUCCGGAUCUGCGUGGGUACGGGCAGACUAGAGUGAUGUAGGGGAGACUGGAAUUCCUGGUGUAGCGGUGGAAAUGCGCAGAUAUCAGGAGGAACACCGGUGGCGAAGGCGGUUCUCUGGGCAUGUCCUGACGCUGAGGAGCGAAAGUGUGGGGAGCGAACAGG